rnacentral:misc_RNA from 1 species
GAUGAAGAACGUAGUGAAAUGCGAUAAGUAAUGUGAAUUGCAGAAUUCAGUGAAUCAUCGAAUCUUUGAACGCACAUUGCGCCCAUCAGUAUUCUGUUGGGCAUGCCUGUCCGAGCGUCAUUUCAACCCUCAGGGCCCGUUCGCGGGAACUGGUGUUGGGGAUCGGCCUCCCCCCGGAGGCCGGCCCCAAAUGCAGUGGUGGCUCUACCGCGAUCUCCUCUGUGUAGUAGCGAUACCUCGCAGCUGGAAAGUGGUGGUGCCACGCCGUAAAAUCCCAACUUUACCAAGGUUGACCUCGGAUCAGGUAGGAAUACCCGCUGAACUUAAGCAUAUCAAUAAGCGGAGGA